UUGAAGUCGAUGAUCCUUG
rnacentral:piRNA from 1 species